rnacentral:lncRNA from 1 species
UGCCCUGUAAAUCAGGAGCUGUGCGUGAUUGGCCAGGGCUGGUCUGCUGGGAUAUGGUUCUGGCAGGAAGCCAGGGGGACUUCCCCACCCCAGCAUGGCCUUGGACCCAAGCCAGAAAUAGCAGCUGGGAGCCGAGAACUUGUUGAAAGGUGCUUAGACAGGGCACAGAAGCCCAACAAAGGGCUUAGAGGAGAAAGGAAAAUGUAGAGUGGCCUGGAAACAGGUGCAGAGCUUAGCCAAGGCCAGGUGUGCUGUGGAUGC